rnacentral:rRNA from 1 species
GACGAACGCUGGCGGCGUGCCUAAUACAUGCAAGUCGAGCGAAGUUUUCCUGGUGUUUUCACCGGAAAGACUUAGCGGCGACCGGGUGAGUCAUACGUAAAGAACCUGCCUCAUUGACUGGGAUUACUAUUGGAAACGCUAGCUCAUACCGGCUAACAGCAUUAACUGCAUGGUUGAUGUUUAACAGUUCGUUUUGCUAACACUAUGAGAUGGCUUUGCGGUGUAUUAGCUAGUUGGUGGGGUAAAGGCCUAACAAGGCGGCGAUGCAUAGCAGACCUGAGCGAGUGAUGGACCACAAUGGAGGUGAGACACGGACCAGACGCCUACGGGAGGGAGCAGUAGCGAACCUACGGCAAUAGGCGAAAACCUGACGCAGCAACGCCACGUGUGUGAAGAAGUAUUUCGGUUCGGAAAGAUCUGUUGUUAGGGAAAAACGAUUGUGGAGUAUGAAGACACAGGAGAGACGGUACCGAAUCAAAAAGCCACGGCUAACUACGUG